CUAACACAUGCAAGUCGAGCGGCAGCGGAAAGUAGCUUGCUACUUUGCCGGCGAGCGGCGGACGGGUGAGUAAUGUCUGGGGAUCUGCCUGAUGGAGGGGGAUAACUACUGGAAACGGUAGCUAAUACCGCAUGACCUCGAAAGAGCAAAGUGGGGGACCUUCGGGCCUCACGCCAUCGGAUGAACCCAGAUGGGAUUAGCUAGUAGGUGGGGUAAUGGCUCACCUAGGCGACGAUCCCUAGCUGGUCUGAGAGGAUGACCAGCCACACUGGAACUGAGACACGGUCCAGACUCCUACGGGAGGCAGCAGUGGGGAAUAUUGCACAAUGGGCGCAAGCCUGAUGCAGCCAUGCCGCGUGUGUGAAGAAGGCCUUCGGGUUGUAAAGCACUUUCAGCGAGGAGGAAGGCAUUGUGGUUAAUAACCGCAGUGAUUGACGUUACUCGCAGAAGAAGCACCGGCUAACUCCGUGCCAGCAGCCGCGGUAAUACGGAGGGUGCAAGCGUUAAUCGGAAUUACUGGGCGUAAAGCGCACGCAGGCGGUUUGUUAAGUCAGAUGUGAAAUCCCCGCGCUUAACGUGGGAACUGCAUUUGAAACUGGCAAGCUAGAGUCUUGUAGAGGGGGGUAGAAUUCCAGGUGUAGCGGUGAAAUGCGUAGAGAUCUGGAGGAAUACCGGUGGCGAAGGCGGCCCCCUGGACAA
rnacentral:rRNA from 1 species